rnacentral:rRNA from 1 species
UACAGAGGUCCCAAGCGUUGUUCGGAUUCACUGGGCGUAAAGGGUGCGUAGGUGGUCAGGUAAGUCGGAUGUGAAAUCUCCGAGCUCAACUCGGAAACUGCAUUGGAAACUACCUGGCUCGAGGGUUGGAGGGGGGACUGGAAUGCUUGGUGUAGCAGUGAAAUGCGUAGAUAUCAAGCGGAACACCAGUGGCGAAGGCGAGUCCCUGGACAACUCCUGACAUUGAUGCACGAAAGCUAGGGGAGCAAACAGG